rnacentral:rRNA from 1 species
GACGAACGCUGGCGGCGUGCUUAACACAUGCAAGUCGAACGGAAAGGCCCUGCUUUUGUGGGGUGCUCGAGUGGCGAACGGGUGAGUAACACGUGAGUAACCUGCCCUUGACUUUGGGAUAACUUCAGGAAACUGGGGCUAAUACCGGAUAGGAGCUCCUGCUGCAUGGUGGGGGUUGGAAAGUUUCGGCGGUUGGGGAUGGACUCGCGGCUUAUCAGCUUGUUGGUGGGGUAGUGGCUUACCAAGGCUUUGACGGGUAGCCGGCCUGAGAGGGUGACCGGCCACAUUGGGACUGAGACACGGCCCAGACUCCUACGGGAGGCAGCAGUGGGGAAUAUUGCACAAUGGGCGGAAGCCUGAUGCAGCAACGCCGCGUGCGGGAUGACGGCCUUCGGGUUGUAAACCGCUUUCGCCUGUGACGAAGCGUGAGUGACGGUAAUGGGUAAAGAUGCACCGGCUAACUACGUG